GGGGGUGAUAGGCCUCGACGAAAUAUUGUUCGCUCAAGGGGCAGGCCGAGGGCGCUUGGGACACCUCGCUAAAAACCCGCAACCAAUAAGUGCAAACUUAUUCAAAAACGCCUUUAGUCCUGCUCUUGCAGUAGCCUAACGGCGUCCCCGCUCCGGUAAGCCGGAGCGGCAUCGGCGGACGGAUGCUCGAUACGUCCUCACCGGUGUCACUUAUCGAGCUGGGCCGCGGAACUCCGGUACCGCGGCCGAGAUGCACCGGAAAAGCGUUGGAGGAUUUUGCCCGGUUUAACCGCCAAUGCCCAUACCAGCCGGGCUACGCCUGUAAACCUCAUGAGCCGGCAUAUUCCGGACGGGAGUUCAAUUCUCCCCACCUCCAUAC
rnacentral:tmRNA from 1 species